rnacentral:rRNA from 1 species
UACGUAGGGUGCAAGCGUUACUCGGAAUUACUGGGCGUAAAGCGUGCGCAGGCGGCUUUGCAAGACAGAUGUGAAAUCCCCGGGCUUAACCUGGGAAUGGCAUUGGUGACUGCACGGCUAGAGUGUGUCAGAGGGGGGUAGAAUUCCACGUGUAGCAGUGAAAUGCGUAGAGAUGUGGAGGAAUACCGAUGGCGAAGGCAGCCCCCUGGGAUAACACUGACGCUCAUGCACGAAAGCGUGGGGAGCAAACAGG